CCUACAUAAAGCGACGCGGAAUGGAUUUAGAAAACUUAAUCUUUGAGUUUUAUUUAUUUUAGUAUCGGUUCGCUGAAAUUAGCAGACUGAAAGACAGUUUCUUGAAGCCAACUUACAAAACAACGGACUCAUUACAUACCCAGUGGGCAAUGUUUCGUAUAAUUCAAAAGUAUGGCUGAAAAUAACACAAAAUCUAGCGUAUUUUCCGCCGCUCGCGGCGACGGAAGCGCGGACGCUGGCUGUCCGUCCGUGACACUUCCGGGAGAUGGCAACAAAUGGACUCGUGAGAAAAUUGCAAAAUUGUCUAUUAUUUAGAUAUCACGAGUACAGUCGACUACAUGUCCAGUUAUCAACGAAAGUUGUUUAAAUAAAUUUGGAUAGCUUGAUGUGCUGUUAAGCGGUGUUGAUCCAAUAGUUGAGGAGCUCGCCUGUGAUCGAAAGAUCUCAGGUACGAAUUCACCUCAGGUCACAUGAGUUUAUAUACCAAUCUGACUCGUAUAUAAUAGACCAUUCCUAACUGCAGGUGAUGGAAAAUAUUACGAGGAAACUUGCAAUAUAGUAAUCUCAAUCAGCUAGCGUGUGAAAUGGGGAAGGCAAUGGCAAAACACUCCAUUUAAGUGCCAAGAAAAUCAUUGAAUUUGUUUCCUUCCACUCAAUGACCAGCACCCUAGGCUAUGAGGAAAACGACUGUAAAAAUGUGCUGUCGACUGUACCCUGACACGUCCUGGUCGAUGAUUAACGAUAGCCGAGCUCAGACGCACGUGACGUCACUGGAGUAACGCUCAAAUAAUGUCCGGAUUAAACUGACUGCGGCCCUGAGGUUUCCAGGCUUUUAUAUUAUUUGGGAUUCC